rnacentral:rRNA from 1 species
UACGUAGGGUCCGAGCGUUGUCCGGAUUUACUGGGCGUAAAGGGCGCGUAGGCGGGAUGGCAAGUCGGUCGUGAAAUCCCUCGGCUCAACCGAGGAACGUCGAUCGAUACUGCUGUUCUUGAGGAUUGCAGAGGAGACUGGAAUUCCUGGUGUAGCGGUGAAAUGCGCAGAUAUCAGGAGGAACACCGGUGGCGAAGGCGGGUCUCUGGGCCGG